GCUUAGGAAAAGAAGUAGGCAAAGCUUCAGGGAACACAAACAAUCAAGUCAGAAUAAAAUUAUCGAGUUUCUGUGGCUGUUCAGCCUCUCUCCUCAACCACUCACCAGAGAAAUGUUCCCAGAAAAUAGAUGGAGAGCUGGGAAAGGGAGAGAGAAAGGGAAGGUGGCAGGAGAAGAAAGAGGUAGAGAAAAAGAGACUGCCCCCCCCCGCCUACACACAUGUGCUGCUUGCACACAAGGAAGCUAGUCUGUAUAUUUCUGGACAUGCAUGUCUGUUUCUGCCUACGGUCAAGUCGCCGGGCAUCUCCCUUUUGGUGCUUCGCUGUGUUGUGCUUCUCUCUUUUCAGCUGACUUCAGAUGCACUGUGCUGCGUCUUCUGCAUUUGGGACCUUGCCUGUAUCCAGCUCUCGGAUGGUGGUGACCAGGGAUGUUUUGAGUUCUCCAGCCUCAUUCCUCGUCUGCCUCCUUAGGAGGCAGUUCUCCCAGGGGCAGAAGGUGAAUGGAUGGCAGUAAGAAUUCCCCCUCACUGUAACCCCUCCUCUUCUUCCCCUGAUAAUAACAGCAGUCGUAAAUGCCA
rnacentral:lncRNA from 10 species